rnacentral:Y_RNA from 2 species
GGCUGGCCUGAGGGUAGUGGAUUAUCAGAACUUAUUAACAUCAGUGUUACUGAAGUUGGUGUACAACCCCCCACCCCCCACCCCACUGGUAAAUUUGACUGGCUUUUU